AUACGUAGGUGGCAAGCGUUGUCCGGAAUUAUUGGGCGUAAAGCGCAUGUAGGCGGUUUGGUAAGUCGGUCGUGAAAAUGCGGUGCUUAACGCCGUAUGGCGAUUGAAACUGCUGAACUUGAGUGCCGGAGAGGAAAGGGGAACUCCCCGUGUAGCGGUGAAAUGCGUAGAUAUUGGGAAGAACACCGGUGGCGAAGGCGCCUUUCUGGACUGUGUCUGACGCUCAGAUGCGAAAGCCAGGGUAGCGAACGGGAUUAGAUACCCCGGUAGUCCUGGCCGUAAACGAUGGGUACUAGGUGUGGGAGGUAUCGACUCCUUCCGUGCCGGAGUUAACGCAAUAAGUACCCCGCCUGGGGAGUACGGCCGCAAGGCUUAAACUCAAAGGAAUUGACGGGG
rnacentral:rRNA from 1 species